rnacentral:ribozyme from 13 species
CAGGAGGAUAGCAUCAGCGACACAAUAGUACAGAGCAUCAGAGGCAAAGUAAUUUGUGAUCUUAGCUGUGAUGUGUUUCCUGUGAAGCACUGAAUUUCCUUUUUUUUUUUUUUUUUUUUUUUUUU